rnacentral:snoRNA from 1 species
GGAUCGAUGAUGACACCCACAAACGCAUUCCUUGGAAAAUCUGAACAAAAUGAGUUGAGAACUCACUACCGUCUCCUCAUCGCAAACUGAGGUCC